CCCAGGCAGUUUCCAGCAGCCGGCGGGCGGGGAGCAAGCUGCCACAAGGGACACCUGCCCUUCCUCCUCCUCCUCCUCCUCCUCCUCCUCCUCGCCCAGCCCCGCCGGAGCCCCGCAGCAGCCGUGAGACUGGUCUAAUUGGAUUAGUCUUUGGAAGAGAUUUUUGGGAAGAUCUAGAAUUCAUUAAGAGAAGACCGAAUGGACAUCCCUUACCAGGGAGGCAGCCUGUCUGAUCCCUGUCAAGUGCUGACAACUUCCCUCCCACAUCUGCUCCACUGGGACCGUCUGCCAUCACAUUGUUGCUGUAGUCCCAUGGUGGCUGCCCAGAUCUUGGGCACCUCCCUGGCAGCUCCCCUCUCCACUGCCUUUGGGAGAUACCUGCCGCUUUGCCCACCACAGCCCCACUAGCUCAGUAUCUCAGAGGGUUUUCCUCUGGCAAUGACCUCCAGCAGCUGUGGGGACACAGAGGCUCCUCAGAGGACAUGUCUCACCUCAGCCCAGCUAGUGGUGGCCACUGUGAAGAGCUUUCAGGCCUUCUCUAAAGUCCCAGGGGAGAGUUCUGUGCUACCAGACAGGUAUCUCUCAGCUUCACUGUCCUGGUGUGUAACUCCCAGAGCUGGCAGUAAAGGCAGCUGGUGAUCAAACCAACAGCACUGUACCCACUGUGCAAUUCCCCUUCUUGCGUUUGGCUUUCAGAUGCACCAGAGACCAAGGUCAGGGAGUAACAGAAGUCUCUCCAGGCUUACCUCCCACACUGUGAGCUGCUGGAGACUGCCAGCAGAGGAAAUGGUCUUCAAGUUUGUACUCAUAUGUACCAGCUGUGGGGAGUUUUGGGGGAAGGAGGGGUGGAAAUGGUUGUUACAAUGAUGUUGCUGUUUUCCUCCAUGGCUAAGGCAUCAAAGGGGUGGGAAAGAGUAGUAGCCAUAAGGUCUCUGUGAUGGAGUAGAGAAAAACAAGAAGUUCUUUUGUCCAAAGGAAAAUGCCUGUGCGUCACUAUGGCCCUUGCAUGCCACUGGCUGCCUAAAAAUCAAGAGCUGACUUGUAUAGACACCAUUCAUAAAAGCUCUCGUUGACUCAAUAGUGGCUAAAUGUGUGCCUGAUUGACCUUAGUGCCCUACUAAUUGGGCAGUUACAGGGGCAGCUACUUCACAGAUUUUUAUAUUUCCUUUCUAUGGACUCACUGCCUUUCCCUGAAGCUGCACUCACAAUGUCCAUUAACUAAGCCAUUGCAGAUAAUGAGAUGAUGACAACCAUGAGCCAAUCUUGGUGCUGCUGUGUU